GAUGAACGCUGGCGGCGUGCCUAAUACAUGCAAGUCGAGCGGACGGACGAGAAGCUUGCGUCUCUGAUGUUAGCGGCGGACGGGUGAGUAACACGUGGAUAACCUACCUAUAAGUCGGGGAUAACUUCGGAAAACCGGAGCUAAUACCGGAUAAUAUUUUGAACCGCAGGGGUGAAAAGUGAAAGACGGUCUUGCUGUCACUUAUAGAUGGAUUCGCGCUGCGUGAGCUAGUUGGUAAGGUAACGGCUUACCAAGGCAACGAUGCAUAGACGAACUGAGAGGGUGAUCGGCCACCCUGGAACUGGGCCACGGUCCUGAGGACUACGGGAGGCCGCAGUAGGCAAUCUUCCGCAGUGGGCGAAAGCAUGACGGAGCAACGCGACGUGAGUGAUAGAGGCCUUCGGAUCGUAAAACUCUGUUAUUAGGGAAGAACCUAUGUGUACGUAAAUGUGCACAUAUUGACGGUAACUAGUAAGAAAGCAACGGCUAACUACGUG
rnacentral:rRNA from 1 species